UACGGAGGGUGCGAGCGUUGUCCGGAAUCACUGGGCGUAAAGGGCGCGUAGGUGGCGCGCGAAGUCAACGGUGAAAGCCCGGGGCUCAACCCCGGGUCGGCCGUCGAUACUCUCGUGCUUGAGCACUGUAGAGGCAGGUGGAAUUCCGGGUGUAGCGGUGGAAUGCGUAGAGAUCCGGAAGAACACCGGUGGCGAAGGCGGCCUGCUGGGCAGUAGCUGACGCUCAGGUGCGAAAGCUAGGGGAGCGAACAGG
rnacentral:rRNA from 1 species